UACAGAGGGGGCAAGCGUUAUUCGGAAUUAUUGGGCGUAAAGCGCACGUAGGCGGAUUGCUAAGUCAGGGGUGAAAUCCUGGAGCUCAACUCCAGAACUGCCUUUGAUACUGGCGACCUUGAGUCCGGGAGAGGUGAGUGGAACUGCGAGUGUAGAGGUGAAAUUCGUAGAUAUUCGCAAGAACACCAGUGGCGAAGGCGGCUCACUGGCCCGGUACUGACGCUGAGGUGCGAAAGCGUGGGGAGCAAACAGG
rnacentral:rRNA from 1 species